ACAGCAGCCGCCGCGGGAAUACGUAGGGUGCAAGCGUUAAUCGGAAUUACUGGGCGUAAAGCGUGCGCAGGCGGUUUGUUAAGACAGAUGUGAAAUCCCCGGGCUUAACCUGGGAACUGCAUUUGUGACUGGCCGGCUAGAGUAUGGCAGAGGGAGGUGGAAUUCCACGUGUAGCAGUGAAAUGCGUAGAUAUGUGGAGGAACACCGAUGGCGAAGGCAACCUCCUGGGCCAAUACUGACGCUCAUGCACGAAAGCGUGGGGAGCAAACAGGAUUAGAUACCCCAGUAGUCCCUGUCUCUUAUAC
rnacentral:rRNA from 1 species